GAUGAACGCUGGCGGCGUGCCUAAUACAUGCAAGUCGAGCGAACAGACGAGGAGCUUGCUCCUCUGACGUUAGCGGCGGACGGGUGAGUAACACGUGGAUAACCUACCUAUAAGACUGGGAUAACUUCGGGAAACCGGAGCUAAUACCGGAUAAUAUAUUGAACCGCAUGGUUCAAUAGUGAAAGACGGUUUUGCUGUCACUUAUAGAUGGAUCCGCGCCGCAUUAGCUAGUUGGUAAGGUAACGGCUUACCAAGGCAACGAUGCGUAGCCGACCUGAGAGGGUGAUCGGCCACACUGGAACUGAGACACGGCCCAGACUCCUACGGGAGGAAGCAGUAGGGAAUCUUCCGCAAUGGGCGAAAGCCUGACGGAGCAACGCCGCGUGAGUGAUGAAGGUCUUCGGAUCGUAAAACUCUGUUAUUAGGGAAGAACAAAUGUGUAAGUAACUAUGCACGUCUUGACGGUACCUAAUCAGAAAGCCACGGCUAACUACGUG
rnacentral:rRNA from 1 species